rnacentral:rRNA from 1 species
CGCCUAACACAUGCAAGUCGAACGAAGUAGCAAUACUUAGUGGCAGACGGGUGAGUAACAUGUGGGUAUCUGCCCUUUGGCCUGGAAUAACACGAGGAAACUUGUGCUAAUACCGGAUAAGUCUUUACGGAGAAAGCUUUAUGCACCAUUGGAUGAGCCUGCACUUGAUUAGUUUGUUGGUGGGGUAAUGGCCCACCAAGACUGUGAUCAAUAGCUGAUUUGAGAGGAUGAUCAGCCACAUUGGGACUGAGACACGGCCCAAACUCCUACGGGAGGCAGCAGUGGGGAAUCUUGCACAAUGGAGGAAACUCUGAUGCAGCGAUGCCGCGUGAGUGAAGAAGGCCCUUGGGUUGUAAAGCUCUUUCGUCGGGGAAGAAAAUGACUGUACCCGAAUAAGAAGGUCCGGCUAACUUCGUGCCAGCAGCCGCGGUAAUACGAAGGGACCUAGCGUAGUUCGGAAUUACUGGGCUUAAAGAGUUCGUAGGUGGUUGAAAAAGUUAGUGGUGAAAUCCCAGAGCUUAACUCUGGAACUGCCAUUAAAACUUUUCAGCUAGAGUAUGAUAGAGGAAAGCAGAAUUUCUAGUGUAGAGGUGAAAUUCGUAGAUAUUAGAAAGAAUACCAAUUGCGAAGGCAGCUUUCUGGAUCAUUACUGACACUGAGGAACGAAAGCAUGGGUAGCGAAGAGGAUUAGAUACCCUCGUAGUCCAUGCCGUAAACGAUGUGUGUUAGACGU